rnacentral:rRNA from 1 species
ACCGGCGCACGGGUGAGUAACGCGUAUGCAACCUGCCCGUUUCAGCGGGAUAACCCGGAGAAAUCCGGCCUAAUACCGCAUGUGGCCGAGGGAAGGCAUCUUCUUUCGGCCAAAGGAGGCGACUCCGGAGACGGAUGGGCAUGCGUGACAUUAGCUUGUUGGCGGGGUAACGGCCCACCAAGGCGACGAUGUCUAGGGGUUCUGAGAGGAAGGUCCCCCACACUGGUACUGAGACACGGACCAGACUCCUACGGGAGGCAGCAGUGAGGAAUAUUGGUCAAUGGGCGAGAGCCUGAACCAGCCAAGUCGCGUGAAGGAUGACGGCCCUACGGGUUGUAAACUUCUUUUGUCAGGGAGCAAUUGGGUCCACGUGUGGGCUUAGCGAGAGUACCUGAAGAAAAAGCAUCGGCUAACUCCGUGCCAGCAGCCGCGGUAAUACGGAGGAUGCGAGCGUUAUCCGGAUUUAUUGGGUUUAAAGGGUGCGUAGGCGGAAUAUCAAGUCAGCGGUAAAAAUUCGGGGCUCAACCCCGUCGUGCCGUUGAAACUGAUGUUCUUGAGUGGGCGAGAAGUAUGCGGAAUGCGUGGUGUAGCGGUGAAAUGUAUAGAUAUCACGCAAAACUCCGAUUGCGAAGGCAGCAUACCGGCGCCCAACUGACGCUNAAGCACGAAAGCGUGGGUAUCGAACAGGAUANAUACCCUGGUA